rnacentral:rRNA from 1 species
CUGCCUGAUGGAGGGGGAUAACUACUGGAAACGGUAGCUAAUACCGCAUGACGUCGCAAGACCAAAGUGGGGGACCUUCGGGCCUCACGCCAUCGGAUGAACCCAGAUGGGAUUAGCUGGUAGGUGGGGUAACGGCUCACCUAGGCGACGAUCCCUAGCUGGUCUGAGAGGAUGACCAGCCACACUGGAACUGAGACACGGUCCAGACUCCUACGGGAGGCAGCAGUGGGGAAUAUUGCACAAUGGGGGAAACCCUGAUGCAGCCAUGCCGCGUGUGUGAAGAAGGCCUUCGGGUUGUAAAGCACUUUCAGCGGGGAGGAAGGGAGCAGGGUUAAUAACCUUGUUCAUUGACGUUACCCGCAGAAGAAGCACCGGCUAACUCCGUGCCAGCAGCCGCGGUAAUACGGAGGGUGCAAGCGUUAAUCGGAAUGACUGGGCGUAAAGCGCACGCAGGCGGUCUGUUAAGUUGGAUGUGAAAUCCCCGGGCUUAACCUGGGAACUGCAUUCAAAACUGACAGGCUAGAGUCUCGUAGAGGGGGGUAGAAUUCCAGGUGUAGCGGUGAAAUGCGUAGAGAUCUGGAGGAAUACCGGUGGCGAAGGCGGCCCCCUGGACGAAGACUGACGCUCAGGUGCGAAAGCGUGGGGAGCAAACAGGAUUAGAUACCCUGGUAGUCCACGCUGUAAACGAUGUCGAUUUGGAGGUUGUGCCCUUGAGGCGUGGCUUCCGGAGCUAACGCGUUAAAUCGACCGCCUGGGGAGUACGGCCGCAAGGUUAAAACUCAAAUGAAUUGACGGGGGCCCGCACAAGCGGUGGAGCAUGUGGUUUAAUUCGAUGCAACGCGAAGAACCUUACCUACUCUUGACAUCCAGAGAAGACUGCAGAGAUGCGGUUGUGCCUUCGGGAGCUCUGAGACAGGUGCUGCAUGGCUGUCGUCAGCUCGUGUUGUGAAAUGUUGGGUUAAGUCCCGCAACGAGCGCAACCCUUAUCCUCUGUUGCCAGCACGUUAUGGUGGGAACUCAGGGGAGACUGCCGGUGAUAAACCGGAGGAAGGUGGGGAUGACGUCAAGUCAUCAUGGCCCUUACGAGUAGGGCUACACACGUGCUACAAUGGCGCAUACAAAGAGAAGCGACCUCGCGAGAGCAAGCGGACCUCAUAAAGUGCGUCGUAGUCCGGAUUGGAGUCUGCAACUCGACUCCAUGAAGUCGGAAUCGCUAGUAAUCGUAGAUCAGAAUGCUACGGUGAAUACGUUCCCGGGCCUUGUACACACCGCCCGUCACACCAUGGGAGUGGGUUGCAAAAGAAGUAGGUAGCUUAACCUUCGGGAGGGCGCUUACCACUUUGUGAUUCAUGACUGGGGUGAAGUCGUAACAAGGUAACCGUAGGGGAACCUGCGGUUGGAUCACCUCCUUACCGAG